UACGUAGGGUGCAAGCGUUUGUCCGGAAUUAUUGGGCGUAAAGAGCUCGUAGGCGGUCUGUCGCGUCUGCUGUGAAAACUCGGGGCUUAACCCCGGGCCUGCAGUGGGUACGGGCAGACUAGAGUGCGGUAGGGGAGACUGGAAUUCCUGGUGUAGCGGUGAAAUGCGCAGAUAUCAGGAGGAACACCGGUGGCGAAGGCGGGUCUCUGGGCCGA
rnacentral:rRNA from 1 species